rnacentral:rRNA from 1 species
CUACGGGUCGCAGCAGUGGGGAAUAUUGCACAAUGGGCGCAAGCCUGAUGCAGCAACGCCGCGUGAGGGAUGAAGGCCUUCGGGUUGUAAACCUCUUUUAGCAGGGAGGAAGCGAAAGUGACGGUACCUGCAGAAAAAGCACCGGCUAACUACGUGCCAGCAGCCGCGGUAAUACGUAGGGUGCAAGCGUUGUCCGGAAUUAUUGGGCGUAAAGAGCUCGUAGGCGGUUUGUCACGUCUGCUGUGAAAAUCCAAGGCUCAACCUUGGACUUGCAGUGGGUACGGGCAGGCUAGAGUGCGGUAGGGGAGAUGGGAAUUCCUGGUGUAGCGGUGGAAUGCGCAGAUAUCAGGAGGAACACCAAUGGCGAAGGCACAUCUCUGGGCCGUAACUGACGCUGAGGAGCGAAAGCGUGGGGAGCGAACAGGAUUAGAUACCCAGUAGUC